rnacentral:rRNA from 1 species
AGAGUUUGAUCAUGGCUCAGAACGAACGCUGGCGGCAUGCCUAACACAUGCAAGUCGAACGCGUGUAGCAAUACACGAGUGGCGCACGGGUGAGUAACGCGUGGGAACCUGCCCUGGAGUGGGGGAUAACCCGGCGAAAGCCGGGCUAAUACCGCAUACGACCUUCGGGUGAAAGAUUUAUCGCUCUGGGAGGGGCCCGCGUCGGAUUAGCUAGUUGGUGAGGUAACGGCUCACCAAGGCGAUGAUCCGUAGCUGGUCUGAGAGGAUGAUCAGCCACACUGGGACUGAGACACGGCCCAGACUCCUACGGGAGGCAGCAGUGGGGAAUAUUGGACAAUGGGGGCAACCCUGAUCCAGCAAUGCCGCGUGAGUGAUGAAGGCCUUAGGGUUGUAAAGCUCUUUCGGCGGGGACGAUGAUGACGGUACCCGCAGAAGAAGCCCCGGCUAACUUCGUGCCAGCAGCCGCGGUAAUACGAAGGGGGCGAGCGUUGUUCGGAAUUACUGGGCGUAAAGGGCGCGCAGGCGGCCUGAGAAGUCAGAUGUGAAAGCCCCGGGCUCAACCUGGGAAUAGCAUUUGAUACUCUGAGGCUGGAGUGCGGGAGAGGAGAGUGGAAUUCCCAGUGUAGAGGUGAAAUUCGUAGAUAUUGGGAAGAACACCGGUGGCGAAGGCGGCUCUCUGGACCGUAACUGACGCUGAGGCGCGAAAGCGUGGGGAGCAAACAGGAUUAGAUACCCCUGUAGUCC